rnacentral:rRNA from 1 species
AGAGUUUGAUCAUGGCUCAGGACGAACGCUGGCGGCGUGCCUAACACAUGCAAGUCGAACGGGGUCGUACUUGGUGGCAACACCUUGUACGGCCUAGUGGCGAACGGGUGAGUAACACGUGAGGAACCUGCCCCGAAGACCGGGAUAACAGAAGGAAACUUCUGCUAAUACCGGAUACCCCCACCGAAUCGCAUGGUUUGGUGAGGAAAUGGAUUCCGCUUCGGGAGGGCCUCGCGGCCUAUCAGCUAGUUGGUGGGGUAACGGCCUACCAAGGCAUCGACGGGUAGCUGGUCUGAGAGGACGAUCAGCCACACUGGGACUGAGACACGGCCCAGACUCCUACGGGAGGCAGCAGUGGGGAAUCUUGCGCAAUGGGCGAAAGCCUGACGCAGCAACGCCGCGUGCGGGAUGAAGGCCCUCGGGUUGUAAACCGCUUUCAGCAGGGACGAAGAUGACGGUACCUGCAGAAGAAGCCCCGGCCAACUACGUGCCAGCAGCCGCGGUAACACGUAGGGGGCGAGCGUUGUCCGGAUUUAUUGGGCGUAAAGAGCUCGUAGGCGGUUCCGUCAGUCGGGUGUGAAAACUCUGGGCUCAACCCAGAGACGCCACCCGAUACUGCGGUGACUAGAGUCCGGUAGGGGAGUGCGGAAUUCCUGGUGUAGCGGUGAAAUGCGCAGAUAUCAGGAGGAACACCAACGGCGAAGGCAGCACUCUGGGCCGGUACUGACGCUGAGGAGCGAAAGCGUGGGGAGCGAACAGGAUUAGAUACCCUAGUAGUCC